UACGGAGGAUCCAAGCGUUAUCCGGAAUCAUUGGGUUUAAAGGGUCCGUAGGCGGCCCGGUAAGUCAGUGGUGAAAUCUCCCCGCUCAACGGGGGAAACGGCCAUUGAUACUGCCGGGCUUGAAUUACUGGGAAGUAACUAGAAUAUGUAGUGUAGCGGUGAAAUGCUUAGAGAUUACAUGGAAUACCAAUUGCGAAGGCAGGUUACUACCAGUGGAUUGACGCUGAUGGACGAAAAGCGUGGGUAGCGAACAGG
rnacentral:rRNA from 1 species